AGAUUGAACGCUGGCGGCAGGCCUAACACAUGCAAGUCGAGCGGCAGCACGGGUACUUGUACCUGGUGGCGAGCGGCGGACGGGUGAGUAAUGCCUAGGAAUCUGCCUGAUAGUGGGGGAUAACGCUCGGAACCGGACGCUAAUACCGCAUACGUCCUACGGGAGAAAGCAGGGGACCUUCGGGCCUUGCGCUAUCAGAUGAGCCUAGGUCGGAUUAGCUAGUUGGUGGGUAAUGGCUCACCAAGGCGACGAUCCGUAACUGGUCUGAGAGGACGACCAGCCACACUGGGACUGAGACACGACCCAGACUCCUACGGGAGGCAGCAGUGGGGAAUUUUGGACAAUGGGCGCAAGCCUGAUCCAGCAAUGCCGCGUGAGUGAAGAAGGCCUU
rnacentral:rRNA from 1 species